ncrna:Eptesicus fuscus (big brown bat) microRNA efu-mir-9201a precursor (efu-mir-9201a-2)
AGGCCUGCGGAGAGAGAGGCAGGGUCUGAUCCUCAGCUUCCAUGGCAGCUGUUGAUCAGCUGUUGCCUCUCUCUUUCUCUCCU